AUCAGUUUUUGUUUUUUGUAUACACCGAGAUGAAGCUGAAAGUUAUGACGAUCAGAUCAAAUACCAAAAGUUGUAACUCGGAUAUACCAUGAUAUUUUGAAUGGUGUGCUACCUUAAUAGCUUUCAGUGGAGGAGCUUGAGAAAAUGAAGGUAACUAUGAAGCUUCCUCUAUACAUGAUGAAGUGGGCGAAUGCGAAAUACAACAGGAGUUAGAGAAAGGCACACCUUGCACUUAUCGUUUCCUGAGUGCCAAAGAAAGGCUCACUGAAAGUAUCAAAUUUAUUUAAUGUGAGGUAGUGACAAGCUUUAGAGUUCAACCUUUUAGUGGAGUGCUUUUAUGCAUAUAAUCUUAAUAUAAUUCAUAAUUGUAAAUAAUGGGAAGCAAACAGUGGUACAUACAUUGUAUGCAUUGUGAAAGAAAAUAUUUUUAUAAU